ensembl:lncRNA
UAACAUCACAACAGGGCUUUCUCACCAGUCUACUAAGCCCUCAUAGAAGAAAUGACCUGCUGAGUCUGUUUCUGUCAGUUUGUAUAUGGCUUCAGGAUUGAGCACUCUGCAAAAGACGACCACCAAGAAGGCUAAUUCUCCACCUGGGAGAGGCUAAUUCUCCUUCUUUCUGCUGUCAUCAAUUGCCUGUGCUUCCUGGUCUAGGGAUGGGAUCCCUUGAGAUCCUCCCCCUUUAGUGUUAACAUGUCUGUUGAUAUUGCCAACAGCCUGGUCUUGUUUACAUGGUCACUUGUAGGAGAGCCUGUUUAGAGCAAGCUCCUCUUACGAUCUUUCCACCCUCUCUCCCAUGUUCUUCACUGAAUCAUCAAUAGAGGAGCUGUGAUGUAGAUGUAUCCACUGGGACCAAGGCCCCCACAAACAUCCCUCUCUGCCUCGUAUCAAGUUGUGGGUUUCCGUGGUACUCCCCCUUUUCUGUAAAGAGAAAUGUCUCUGAUGGAGGGUGGUUGCUAUUUUUAUCAGUCCGUAUAAGGAUAAGAUUUAGAAUGUAAUAAUGAAUUAUGCUGGUGUAGCAAAGGGGACUCUUUGAUAACUUCCAUGACCUCAUUGGCUCCGGGAAGUUGGAUAGGUUUUCAGUACCAAGCAUGAUUUUCCUCUUAUAGAAUGGCCUUAAGUACAAUUAGUUGUUGGUUGACAUAGACAUGUAAGCACCAUUUUAUAUACAUAUUAUAUAUAUAUAUAUAUUCAUACACUUCACAGUUGUUCAUCUGGGUUCAUGGAUGGUUAAUAGGUGUUGUUGCUAGGUAGGAGUGUUUAAUUUCUUCCCUUCCUUGGAAACUUGCAUAGUGUUUUCUGGAACUGUGGAAGCUAGAUCUCAGAAAAGAGACUUUCAUGUCUGAUCCUGAUUGAAUCAUCUAAGUCCUAUGUUUUAAGUAUGUUGUGUCUUCCGCCACAGGAUCCCAACCUCAACCCCAGAGAUGCACCCAAGUGCUAGAUCAAUAAUCUAUAUUGUUUUGGGAGUCUCUUGACUCAUUGAAAGGAGGAUUUUUGUCCCGUGCAUUUUGUUUGUUUAUUUGUUAGUCUGGUUCCUUUAGGGACUAGAAAGACAAACACCACACCUUCUCUCUCAUCUGAAAUUCCUAGUUUCCAGUCCUCAGGUAUGAAUCCAUAGGUAUUCAGAUAUGAAUAUCCAAGAUAGUGUAACCCCAGAAAGUAGAAAAAGUAUAAGGGGACUAUGGGUAGGGCAGGUUGAGAAGUAAAUAGCAGAGUAUAAGAAAGGAGAUGUCUUAGGGUUUUACUGCUAUGAACAGACACCAUGACCAAUGCAAGUCUUAUAAAGGACAAUAUUGAAUUGGGGCUGACUUAUAGGUUCAGAGGUUCAGUCCAUCAUCAUCAUCAUCAUCAUCAUCAUCAUCAUCAUCAUCAUCAUCAUCAUCACCACCAUCAUCAUCACCAUCAAGGUAGGAACAUGGCAGCAUCCAGGCAGACAUGGUGCAGGCAGAGCUGAGAGUUCUACAUCUUUAUCUGAAGGUUGCUAGCAGAAUACUGACUUCCAGGCAGUUAGGAGGAUGUCUUACAGGUCACACCCACAGCGACACACUUAGUGCAACAAGACCACACCUACUUCAACAGGGCCACACCUUCUACUCAUGCCACACCCUGAGCCAAGCAUAUACAAACCAUCACAUUCCGCUCCCUGGCUCACAUAGACUUGUUCAAACACGUGAGUUUAUGGGGGCCAUAUCUAGCCACAGCAUAAUAAAAAAUAUAUCUAGUCUAACUUCCAAAGUCUCCAUAGUUUAUAGCAGUCUCAACAAUGUUAAAAGUCCAAAGAUCAAAGUCUCUUCUGAGACUCAUCCAAUCAUUUAACUGUAAUCUCCAAAGCAAGACAGGGAACCAGCUGGGCAAACUCCACUCUCUGCAUCUCCAUAGCUGAUGUCAAAUCGGUCUUCAGAUCUCCAACUCCUUUUCAACUUUGUUGACUGCAACAAAAUUCUUUCUCCUGGGCCAGUUCCACUUCCUAUUAGCAGCUUUCCUCAGCAGAUAUCCCAUGGUUCUGGCAUCUCAAACAUCUUGGGGUCUCCAAGGCAGCUUCAAUGUUACAGCUUCUUGUUCCAGUGUCUGGGAUCCACACAUGAUCUUCUGGGCUCCUCCAAAGGGCUAGCAUCACUUCUCCAGCUCUGCCUUCUGUAGCUCAGGGUGAUCCACUCCACUGCUGCUGCUGUUCUUGGUGGUCAUUCCAUGGUACUGGCAUCUCCAAUAUGCUGGGGUCUUCCACUGAAGCUAGGCUUCACCAAUAGCCUCUCAUAGACUCUCAUCAUGGUGCCAAGCCUCAGCUCCUUUGCAUGAACCUCUCAGUCUUGGGCCAUCAGCUGCAACUGAGGCUGCAACUUCACCAGUGGCCUUCCAUGGCCUCUCACAGUGCCCUGCCUCAGCUGCUCUUCAUGAUGCCUUCAUGCCUUCAAAACCAGUACCACCUGGAUGACUCUUACACAUUACCAAGUACAGCUGCAGCACAAGGGAAGUGGUGUUGUGGACAGGAUGAAAAAAGCGGAAGCCGGAGGCCAAUAAAUGGACAGAAAUAAUGUGUUGAGAGACUGGCACGAUAAGAAAUUUCUGAAAGGACAAAGGAGGAUCCCUAUGGAGAAUGAGAAGGAACUUGGCUAAGAAGUCCUGGGAUGACACCAGAAGGAUGAGCUAUUUGCUUGUUGGGGCAUCUGGUUGACCUCCUACGCAAGUCAUGAAGACUUGAGAACUUUCGUGUCAUUGAACACCUUGGUGACACCAUCAGAGACAGCCGCACCAUAGGCCAUGUUUCUGGAAACAAAAGGGAGACAGAAAGAGUUACAGAAGAACUGAGCUGCCGCACCUGCUGCUCGGAGCCAACUAAACCAUGAUCAUUAUCUUAAGGGAAGACUCUUCCAACUUGAUUGGAGGCAAAAAUCCUUUGCUGUGAAAUUUAUUUUAUCUGCUAUUAAAAAAAAUUAAACUUUUGUUUCCCUCUCC